GUCUUUCUUCUGUAGCACAUAAAUUAAAACUGAAAUGAUUCAAAGAAGAUGGCAUGGCCCCUGUGCAAGAAUGACAUCCAAAUCCAUGAAGAAUUCAGUAUUGUU